rnacentral:rRNA from 1 species
UGCAAGUCGAGCGCCCAGCAAUGGGAGCGGCAGACGGGUGAGUAACGCGUGGGGAUCUACCCAUUGGUACGGAAUAACCCAGGGAAACUUGGACUAAUACCGUAUGUGCCCUUCGGGGGAAAGAUUUAUCGCCAAUGGAUGAACCCGCGUCGGAUUAGCUAGUUGGUGGGGUAAAGGCUCACCAAGGCGACGAUCCGUAGCUGGUCUGAGAGGAUGAUCAGCCACACUGGGACUGAGACACGGCCCAGACUCCUACGGGAGGCAGCAGUGGGGAAUAUUGGACAAUGGGCGCAAGCCUGAUCCAGCCAUGCCGCGUGAGUGAUGAAGGCCUUAGGGUUGUAAAGCUCUUUCGCCGGUGAAGAUAAUGACGGUAACCGGAGAAGAAGCCCCGGCUAACUUCGUGCCAGCAGCCGCGGUAAUACGAAGGGGGCUAGCGUUGCUCGGAAUCACUGGGCGUAAAGCGCACGUAGGCGGAUCGUUAAGUCAGGGGUGAAAUCCUGGGGCUCAACCUCAGAACUGCCCUUGAUACUGGCGAUCUCGAGUUCGAGAGAGGUUGGUGGAACUCCGAGUGUAGAGGUGAAAUUCGUAGAUAUUCGGAAGAACACCAGUGGCGAAGGCGGCCAACUGGCUCGAUACUGACGCUG